GCUGGGCGUGGUGGUGCACGCCUGUAGUCCCAGCUACUCACGAAGCUGAGGCAGGAGAUUCACUUGAACCCAGGAGGUGGAGGUUGCAGUGAGCCAAGAUCAUGCCACUGCACUCCAGCCUGGGUGACACAGUGAGACUCUGUCUCAA
rnacentral:sRNA from 1 species